CCCAUGUGGAAUUUUAUUUUUUUAGAUAGAAAAAAUCUCCAUUAUUUCCUUUAUAGAUCCUGAUGUGGGUGUCAUUGCUUAGGAAGAUUUUUAUCUACCUGAAAAUUAUGUGCUGAAGAUAAAGCAAUGGCCAAUGCAGACAAGAAUUCUGUUUUCAUGGAACUUACAUUCUGUUCAGACAUCCAUUGCUCAUCCCUUCAAAAUCUGGUGAACAGAAGGUAAGCUACAAAGGACUCGAGAAUUCAAAGUGAGCUCCCGUCCCCAGCCACCCUCCAGAGGUCUCCACUUUGUCCCUAGAACUGAGGACGUGGCAGGUGCACCCUCUUACCCUGGGACUACUUGUCGGGCUUGCUUUCAUCUUCACUCAAAGGUUUGUACCACUGCGAUUGCCAUUUUGUAGCCAUUCUACCACCCGGCCAGAAUCAAACUCACCCUGUGCCAUCACCUUCUCCCAGAAGCCCUCCCUGACCUCCCAAGUCCUACCCAGGCGCCCUGCCCAGGGACCCUCCAGCUGUGUGGACGGUGCGGCCCAACACGUGUCCCGCUGUGGAGAGUGGCAGCCCUGGCCCCUAGCACCAUGCCCCAUGGUGCCUGCUGCCUGGAUUGUUCGGGAUCGAGGCAGGGUGCCCGCUUCCAAGGCCAGAAUCAAAUGGCCGCCUCCGGUGCUUCAGGGUACUCUUCCUCCCUCGCACACCCACACCUGAACGAUGCUGGGGCUGGGAAAUCUGCUUUGCUCUGAGGGCAGGAGCGACCCACCCCAAGGCAAGUUUUUCUCACCUCCCCCAUCUCUAUUUCCUGCCCUGACAUUUCCCUUAGCCAGACUAGCUUUUAUAUUUUAUUUUUAUUUUGGUGUUUCUGGCCCUGCUGGCCACCCAUGAGGCACAGUGUAUAAAUGCAAAGAUACAGGAAAAUUUGCCUGAGGGAGGGAUUUCCCUAACGUGCAUCUUAGCAUCCUUGGCCUGUUAGAGCACUUGUUCCGCCUGGAGCGCUCUCCACUUGUCCUCCCCAGGCUCAGCUCCUGCAGCCUCCUCCCAGGGCUGGCCUGGACCCUUCUAUCACCUCCUCUGCCCCCCCACUCACCGCGUCCACUGCUGCCAGGGCUGCUGCCCUCACAACACCAGUCAUCGGCUUCCUUACCCCUCCCUCCCCACCCCUCUUGCCUCCAGCAGUCUCUGGCUCUCCAAAGACAAGGACAGGGUCUCCUACCCUUUGUGUAAAUGUGUGUAGGAGGGUCUGCCCCAGUGUCCAGCCCAAAGGGAGCGCUGGUGGGUGAGUCGGUGAUAUGAGUAUUCUCCAUGGAGUUGCUUAUGUCAGGCUUGCCUGCUUUCGCGCCGACUGCCUCUGUGAACAUACCCCAUCCUAAAAGGUUUUGUUUGUUGUCAAAUGUGUAUUUGCGAGUGUGCUGGUGAUUGCCCAAACCAGGUAACUCCGUAUGUCAGACAUGCCGGUGCACACCUGAGCUGGAUAACACCACAUGUGGACUGUCCCCCUUUAUCUUCGAUCCCUGAAUGGAUGGGCUGGACUAUAUGAGGGACCGGACACAGAGCCCCUGUGGCAAGCUCGUCCCUGAGGUCCCUGACACCGGGCCACAGGCGUGUGCUCCGAGGCGGGCUCCUGCUCAUCUGCCUGUGCUCCUGCGCCAUCAUGGACGCACCACUCCACUGGAACUGUCUCCAGUGCAUCGUUUUCCCCUGGGACAGACGAGAGGCUGAUUGGGACAACCAGGACCCUGAACCUUCCGUUGUGACCAGUAUGAGAUGUACUGAUCUGUGAUAUGUGUGAUUUUUAGAUAUGCUUGAUCCCCUCUUUGAGUGUUGUGUGAAAGGAAACUGCAGAAUAAACCAUGU